rnacentral:lncRNA from 1 species
UUCAUAUCAAUUUUUACAGCAUUUUCGUUUGUAUUUUCGUUUGUAUCUCUGUCUGUAUCUCCAUUUGUAUCUCCGUUUGUAUUAUCAUUUUUAUGUUUUAAGUUUUUUUUACUCUCUAAAUCUUUUAAUAUGUAGUUCAUUUCGAACUCGGUUGAAGUACCUGCACAAAAGAGUAUAAUGAACAUGCAGGGAAAUUAGGAAAUGUAGCAAAAAUAGAAAAUGUAACAAAAAUAGAAAAUGUAACAAAAAUAGAAAAUGUGACAAAAAUAGAAAAUGUGACAAAAAUAGAAAAUGUAACAAAAAUAGAAAAUGUAACAAAAAUAGAAAAUGUGACAAAAAUAGAAAAUGUGACAAAAAUAGAAAAUGUGACACAUAAAUAGUUUAAUAAAAUUAUAAAUUGCUUAAUUAGUAUAUUACUUGCUAUAAAUAUGUUUGAAUCUGGGUAUGUAUCAAUUAUAUAUCUCGAAAAUUCUAAAUUUUCGUCACCUAUUAUUAAAAUAUUAUUAUUAUUAUUUAUUUGUUCAUCUUCUUCAUCUUGUUCACUUUCCUCAUCAUCUGAUUUGUUAUUCAAAUUGUUAUAUUCUGAACUGUCAUCGUCUAAAUCGUUGUUGUUUAUACUAUGCUCAAUCACACCAUCAUAAUCCACAACUUCAUCAACCACAUCUCCAUCAACCACAUCUCCAUCAACCACAACUUCAUCAUCCACAUCUCCAUCAACCACAUCUCCAUCAACCACAUCUCCAUCAACCACAUCUCCAUCAACCACGUCUCCAUCAACCACAUAUCCAUCAACCACAUCUCCAUCAACCACGUCUCCAUUAAUCAUGUCUCCAUUAAUCAUACCCUCAUCAUAUCCACCAUCUUCAACCAAGCUUUGAAUAUAACCAUUUUCUAACAUAAUAUCCUGUCCUUUUAAGUCUUUAUUUUCAUCCACAUGGUUAUGAACAUACACUCCUAUUUCAUUACCCAAAUCACUAUUUAUCGGUAAACUACUCGGUUCUUCUAUCAUUCCAUUUUUUUUCGAAUCGUUGUAAGUGUUGUCAUUUAAAUUAUCACUUUCAUUUGUUAUUUUUAAAUCCAAAUUUUCAUUACUUAAACUUUUUUGAAUUUCAUUCGUGUUCAUUAUUAAAAAAAAAAAAAAAAAAAAAAAUUAGCACUUAAGAUUUGUUUUUAAUAUACAGUGUUUUUUUAAUUAACAAAUAAUACUUGUUUUGAAAAAUGUAUAUAUAUAUAUAUAUACA